CCCAUUUAACACCAAAAUAAAAAUAACUUGGUUAUCUAAUGCUAAAUCACUGCUAUUCUCAGCACAGCUUCUAAUAGAACUGCUUUGGCUACACUGGGAGGAGUAACAUUUGUAAACUGUUGUGCUAGUAAUGUCCUAAUGACCUGAGUUCAGAGCAAAGACGUAAGCACAUCUGCUGUCCAGGAACCUGUUUACACCAAAAAUAUUGUUACUAUACAUAGGGGUGUGAAGAAUGCUCUGAUUACUUGUGUGAGGGUAAUAGGAUUUCUGUGCACUUUUCAAAAUCUAGGAUGUGACCAUUAUGAUCAGCUAUUUGAAAACUAUCAGUAGACUUACUUCUUCAGAUUAGGCCAUACCAUUACAAGUUGAGUACAAACAACAUUCUCAAAAUCCUUGUUUGCAAGAGGUGAAGAUGUGCCUUUAAUACCAUAUGAAUGGAGAAUUCCAGUUCUAUUCACCUAAACACUCAUUAGAACUAAAACAUACUGCACAUGAGCCAAGACUAAGGGACUCAUGUUGUAAAAGGAUGCAAUAAUCACUGCUCUGAAUGCAGAAUAAAGUUUUACUGACAAAACGAGCCUUGAGAUUUGAUGCCAUUUAUAAUGAUGCUAUUAUUUCACUAGGCAGCUAGUGAUGCUUCUGCUCUACUUGCUUUUUUGUAAAAUGGUUAUUGAAAAGCACCCACAUUUGUUACUAGACUUUUCACAAGCUCCCAGUGAUCUCAUGAGGAAACACUAUCUCGGCUUAAGACAAGCUAUGCUUGAUCAGCAUAAGUAAGUUGGACUUCUCGUUUUCUGCUGAGGUAUCCUCAGUUCCUUCCUGCUCCCUGGCAUUAUUUAUGAGAGAAACCAAAUAGGUUUGUGGUUUCCAUGAGAUCAGUCCUUCAAUCAUUAAAAUAAAAACUUGCACUAUGUACAGAUAGGUAGAAUCAUGGGACAACUAUCAUUGCUAUGUCCUGUGGAAUGGUAAUGGUCUGGGACGGUGACCAAGCAUGCUAAGGAAACACAGCUUAGAUGGAUCUACAUCCACUUAUUUCCAUUGUGGUUCACAAACCCUGGCAUGGGUUUGUAUGAUGCAGCAGUCACUUCCCUGAAUAAUGUAUGUGUGUCUGGUACUUUCAUUAUGUUUCCUCCCAUCCAAAGAUGUAAAGAAUAUGAAAAUCCAGAAGAUUAUUUCAAAAUUUUUCCUUCUGGUAUUGUGAUUUUAAUAAUAGGCUCAAGCAGUGAUGUAAGACUCAAGUAGUGAGGGAAGAAGGAAAGCCUGGAAGGUCAAGCCCAGAACUGUCCUCAGAGCUGAAAAGGUUUGCAAAACAGUGAAAAGGGGCACCACUCCUUCAGAGAAUCACUAUUCUGAUUUUAUCUCAGCCACCAGCUUCCUGUCAACCAAAGCCCAUCACCUGACUUUAUGCCUUACUCCUGAAACGGUGGUAAUGUUGAGCUUUUAGUUAAAUUCUUUCCAGUUAAAGACCACAAGACAUCAAGAUGUGCCCAGGCUGUGUGAUGCUGACAGUGAGCUGGUUUGAGUACCAAACUCCUAUGCUUAGCUCUGCUGAGUCCCCAGAUGAAGUGCUGAGCCAUGUUCCAGACCUGUGCCAGGAAAAAGACUGAACUCAUGCUAGCUAAGAGCACUACCCUUCUGAAAGUGCUGCCUGAGACCUUGUGCUAUGAGGAGAUACAGAGACUGCACCACCUAGCUCUGGAAAAGCGUAGCUGGGAUUUGAGAAGAUCUUGCAGAAGACAAUGGAAAAACAGACUUCAGUUGCCCUAAACUUGUGCUUGCUCCUACAUGGAAAUCAAGACUUCAGUGACAAAGUCCUGGAGGAGGGCUCUUCCUGCCCCACCAUGGGGAGGCCGAGGGGCUCUUCGUCUGCCGAUAUAUUUGUUAGGUGUGACAAAGGGGACAGUGACAUGCUCUGGCAUGACAACUGUAUUGCUUAUGUGCAGCCGCAAAGGGACUGAAGGAUGUUUUGAAGAUAUACAUGUGUAUAGAGAAAUUAAUCAAUGUUUAUAAACAUAGGAAAAGAUUUUGGCUAGGUAUUUCUAAUAAAUCUGGAAUUGUUUUAACAGGUUUACAUUGUUAUUCAUAAUAUAAGGGGAAAAGAACUUAGAUGUAAAACGA